GUUUUACAUUUGUAAAACUGUUCUUCAGUUGAAAACAAUCACAAUAUUAACAUAAAAGCUUUUAUUUUUAGGGAUGGUUAAAUUGCUAGGUUAAAGAGGUUAGCCAGCAUAAAAGAUAUUGAAAAAAACCGUGGAAAUCUGCUUGAAAUUAAAGUAAAUGAUUACAGCAAUGUAGAGCAUUCAUCUGAGGGUUGCUUCACAAAUUAUGUUUUGCUUGUGUGCUGCAGGAAAGAGGUACACUGUGAUGUUGGAUUGAAAUUAAGUGGCUUCUAGCUGUACAGGCUCUAAAGUUAUGUAUAGAUCAAGAUUAAGGAUUCGGAUUUAAAAAGUUAAAAGAAAUAGAAAAUUGGCUUUUAAUAGGUAAAAAUUUAAUGAUAUAUUACAUUAAAAUUAAGGAUUGGGAUUAAAAAAGAGGGAAAGAAAUUGCGGGACAAACAAAUUGAACUGGAAUACAAAAGAGGGAGGUAUGAGGAGGUCCAGAAAAUAAGUAAAUUUAAAAGUGGUGAUGGAAAGAUGGUAUUGUUUUUAACCGUUUUCUUUUUUUCCUUUUUUUUUGCUUUUUGUUUUUUGUAUUUUGUAUUAUGUAUUUUUGUAUUGUGUAUUUUUCUUUUUUACUUGUAAUUCUUUUUUACUGAUGUGUCUUUUUUUCUAUUGGAAACUUCAAUAAAUAUCAUUUAAAAAAAAAAAGGAAAGAGGUACACUGUCACUUAUUGUGUGCAUUGUUGGUGUUCAUUGUGCUGGCAAAUCCACAGUUUAGGAAUCCUAGUUUAGAUGGGAUAAGGGUGAAAGAAUCUGGUUAAGAGGCCUAGGUAGAAAAUGUUGGGUG